rnacentral:rRNA from 1 species
AUUGAACGCUGGCGGCAUGCUUUACACAUGCAAGUCGAACGGUAGAGGGGGCAACCCCUUGAGAGUGGCGAACGGAUGAGUAAUGCAUCGGAACGUGCCCAGUCGUGGGGGAUAACGCAGCGAAAGCUGUGCUAAUACCGCAUACGAUCUCUGGAUGAAAGCGGGGGACCGAAAGGCCUCGCGCGAUUGGAGCGGCCGAUGUCAGAUUAGGUAGUUGGUGGGGUAAAGGCUCACCAAGCCAACGAUCUGUAGCUGGUCUGAGAAGACGACCAGCCACACUGGGACUGAGACACGGCCCAGACUCCUACGGGAGGCAGCAGUGGGGAAUUUUGGACAAUGGGCGCAAGCCUGAUCCAGCAAUGCCGCGUGCAGGAAGAAGGCCUUCGGGUUGUAAACUGCUUUUGUACGGAACGAAAAGGUCUGGGUUAAUACCCUGGGCACAUGACGGUACCGUAAGAAUAAGCACCGGCUAACUACGUGCCAGCCGCCGCGGUAA